UCUGCGUCCACCUGCAUCCUGAGGCGUCAAGGCAUCCACCAUGUAUUUUGGUGUCUUGUUACCCUCAAGCCCUAAACUCGUACUGAUAGCCGUUUGUUUUCAGGAAAUUUGAAACAACUGCUUGUUAUUUUUGGCUUCUCCAAGAAGAUCAGUUUGUGAAUUUUGAACCAUGACCGCGCAGACCAAGAAGAGGAGCCCUGUGGAGAGUGGGGACGCUGCUAUCGGCACGGCUCUCGUUGGCUUCGUCUCCAAUAAUGAGGAUUUGGGCCCCAUUGUGCGGCAUGCUUUCGAGUCCGGAAGGCCUGAGGCUCUCUUCCACAACCUCAGGGGUAUCGCCAAGAGGAAGGAGGUUGAGAUCGAGGAGCUCUGUAGGCUUCACUAUGAGGAAUUCAUCCUCGCGGUCGAUGAGCUGCGUGGGGUGUUGGUCGAUGCUGAUGAACUCAAGGGCGCGCUGUCGGGUGAGAAUCUGCGCUUGCAGGAGGUUGCUAGUGCCCUGCUUCUGAAGCUCGAUGAGCUUCUUGAGUUGUAUGCGGUGAAUAAGAAUGUUGGGGAAGCGCUUGCAACAUUGAAGAUCUGUCUGCAGGUCACCAGCCUGUGUCAGGCAUGCAACAGGGACAUUGCCCAAGGCAAGUUUCACACUGUGCUGAAGACUUUGGAGCUGAUUGAGAAGGACCACCUGCAGAAUAUUCCUCUGAAGCUUCUUAAAAAUGUUGUUCAGAAAAAGAUACCGAUGAUGAAGCUGUACAUCGAGAAGGAAGUUUCCGGUGAGUUUAAUGAGUGGCUUGUGUAUAUCAGAAAGUUUGCAAUGGAGAUUGGACAGGCCUCGAUACGCCAGGCCUCUUUGGAUCGUCAGAAAGAUGAGCGAAUGCGUGCCUGGCAGAGGGAAGCAGAAGAAUGUAGUCGUGGGGGGUUUGAUGAGCAUGCUUAUGCCUUGGAUCUGGAGUACAUAGAUGAAGAGUCAACACUAGAAUUUGAUCUUACUCCAGUAUACCGAGCAUACAACAUCCACAUAUCCCUUGGCCUUGGGGACAAGUUUCGAGAAUAUUACUACAGUAACAGGCUCAUGCAGCUUAACUUGGACAUGCAAAUUUCUACAACACAACCCUUCCUCGAGUCCCACCAGCACUUCCUUGCUCAGGUAGCUGGAUUUUUUAUUGUUGAAAACCGUGUUCUUCGAACUGCAGAGGGACUUCUAUCUGAGAGCCAGGUUGACACAAUGUGGGAAACAUCUAUUUCUAAGGUCACCUCUUUCCUAGAGGAACAGUUUGCACGCAUGGAUGCAGCUAACCACCACCUCCUUGUAAAAGAUUAUGUCUCUCUUCUAGCUGCAACCAUGAAGAAGUAUGGGUAUCAAGUCACAUCUUUGCUUGAAGUUCUUGACAAAAACAGGGACAGAUAUCAUGAGCUGCUUGUUUCAGAUUGUCGGAAGCAGAUACAAGGCGUCUUUGCUAAGGACUCGUAUGAAAGGAUGGUUAUAGAUAAGGAAAAUGAAUACAACAUGAAUGUCGCAGCAUGUCAACUUGAACCCAUUCACGCAGUGCCGGAUUUGCCAUAUGUUGCGCCAUUUUCCUCAUCAGUUCCCAGUGCUUGCCGUAUUAUCCGUUCCUUCAUUGAGGAUUUGGUAAGCUACUUGUCAUAUGGUGUAGUGGUCAACUCCUAUGAUGUGGUGAAAGGAUACCUAGACAAGCUUUUAAUUGAGGUACUAAAUGACGGUCUUCUGAAGUUGAUACAUAAUGGUAGUUUGGAGAUAGCGCAGCUGGUACAGAUUGCAGGAAAUAUUGCCAUCCUUGAGCGGUCAUGUGACAUGUUCCUUUUGCAUGCUGCCCAGCUUUGUGGACUUCCUAAACGGCUGCUUGGGAAGCCUCAUUCUGGUUUGACUGCUAGAGCUGUGCUCAAGGCCUCCCAAAACGCAGCGUUCAAUGGAUUAAUAACCUCGGCCAAUUCCAGAAUUGAUGAAUUCAUGCUGCUGCUGACCAGCAUCGAUUGGACAACAGAGGAAACUCCAGAACAUGCAAAUGACUACAUGAAUGAAGUCCUCAUCUACCUUGACAUGGUGGUAUCGACUGCACAGCAGAUUCUGCCGAGAGAGGCCCUCUUCAAGGUCAUUUCUGGUUCACUCAGCCACAUCUCAGACUCCAUAAUAACAGUUCUUCUCAGCGACAGGGUGAAAAGGCUGAGCAUCAAUGCGGUUGUAGGUAUCGACAUUGACCUGAAACAGUUAGAGGAGUUUGCAGAAGACAGAUUUCACACCACUGGGUUGUCGGCCCUUAAAAAGGAAACAAAUUUUAAAGAUUGCCUUGUCGAGAUUAGGCAGCUGACUAAUCUUCUGCUGAGCAACCACGCUGAGAGCUUCAUGAACGCUGUGAUCAGGGAGAAGAGUUAUGCGUCCUUGGACCACAAGAAGGUAGCCAUCAUCUGCGACAAGUUUCGGGAUGCUCCUGACAGCUUGUUUGGGAGCCUUUCAAGUAGAAACAUGGUGCAGAGUGCUCGGAAGAAGUCCUUGGAUGUGUUGAAGAGAAGGUUGAAGGAUUUUAGCUGAGAUUAGCCAUGUUGCAUCUGAAAUAAGCUGGUACCAGUUGAGUAGAACUUAAAUUUGCUUCUGUAAAACCUUGUCUGCUCUUGUGAUUUUCUUGUCUAGAACAUAAUUACUGUCCUCUGUUUCAUGUGCACAUUUAGGCUUUGGCUGCCUGCUUACAGGGUGAGGCCGUGAACUGUAGUUGUAUGCUCCAAAUUUCCAUCUGAACUUAGUUGAUACUGUCCUUUCACUAGAAGAAAUAGAAGAGGGCAGUUUCUUUCGUACCAGGGCAAGCUAUUAAAGGCUUAAGUUGACACAACCACAGGGUUUGGUGUCCGUAAGGAAGCAGUAACUGUGAAGAAAGCUGUCAAAUAGACUUGUGCUGGUCAUCAUUGUCUUGCAUUGCUUAAAGAGAAAACCUUGGAUUGUUUAGGGAGAGAGACUUGAAGGACGGUGAAGGUUUAGCAGCUUCGCUUUGAUGAAAGUUACUUCUUUGACGGUUAGCAAAGCUCUAAAUGCCACCCUUAAUAAAUCUCUUUGGUCAGAUAACUUUGGAAUUAGAACUUUAGCUAUCAGACACCAAAUCAAUGUUUGAAAAAGAAAUCCUAUCAGUGUCAGUCAUGCAGGCAAUGAGGUAGUUUCCUGGUUUUGGAUUCAGUUUACUGUAAUAUUUCUUAGCUUGCUGAUCAGCUUUAGG
rnacentral:rRNA from 1 species